rfam:Rattus norvegicus chromosome 12, whole genome shotgun sequence.
GGAGAUUUAGCUCAGUGGUAGAGCGCUUGCCUAGCAAGCGCAAGGCCCUGGGUUCGGUCCCCAGCUCUG